ensembl:lncRNA
CGGUCUCUCCCCAUUUUACCAAGCAGCCGGCCAGACCUCUGUCUUAUUUUCUACUCUGUCCAUAUCAUUUGAGUUUUCCAUGCGUUUCUACCUCAGCCUCUGAAGCUUUUACCGAGUGCCCCAGGUGAGGGUCCAAGUCUCUAUCCACGACUGCAGAAAUUACCUGGGACUUUUUGACAAUUAUUCCUUUUUUGCUACAUUCUUGGAGUUGCCGGUGUGGCUGUUUCUGCGCGCGAUUGAGAGAGGAAGCCUAGUGUUGCUCUUUGCCCUGGGGGUCUGUGUACACCGUUGACCAGAGGAGAAGACUACCUGUCACCAUGGUGAACGUUCAGCUGCUGUUCCUGCUGGCCCUGGCCGGCCCCUUCUGUGCCAUCGCACGCGCAAGCACACUGGUGUCACCAACAGGCCCAGAGCAUGUGACAGAUGCCACUGACGCCCUCGGACAAGGUGCCACCAUCACAGGUGCGCCGCAAGCUGAAACUAUAACUGCAGUUGAUGAGGUCAUGACGGAAAUCGCUCCCACCACAGAAGCUGACACAGAAGUUGCCCCAAAAACUGCCACAGAACCAGCCCCUGAAGCUACUGAAGCUAUUGCCAUGACGAGUGAAGCCCCCGUUGCUCCUACCGACAACACAGAGCAGGAGAUGCCCACAACAAAGAUCCCUGACAUUGUGAAGGAACCCACGGUAGAGAUCAAACACGAGGAGGAGGUGGAGGUAGAAGAGCCAGAGGAGGGCAUUGGCUCUGGACAAGUGGCUGGUAUUGUGAUUGGUGCAUUGGUGGCAGUGAUUAUCGUUAUUGCCGUGGUGAUCGUUGUGGUGAGAAGAAUGGGCAAAUACUCGGCUGCUGCUGCUUCCUCUAAGAAAAUGGCGGACAAAAAA